GUCCUGUGUUGGUAAGCAGCUACACUGCAAUGACAGACUAUCAGUGUUUCCUCUCUGUUUGCUUAAUUCAUUUUUGCAGACAUUGCCAUGCUUCCUGGAGAACAGCAAUGUGUUUUUAGUGCUUCAGGCAAUAUUUGAUUCCCUGUUUGUUGUGGGAAAAUUAGUUAUCUCCUCGUGAAGGAGAAAGACAUGAGUCACUGUGUGGACCUAAGCAAUUAAUUUUGUCUCCCCAUCAGAGACUGGUCAGACUGCUAUUCCCAGUGAAAUUAAGACUUGUUGUAGCCUCUACCCCAAUUAGUCCAGAUUUCAAUUGCCAUUAAAGAGUAUGAGAGUUUAUUUACAAAAAGAAAAGAUUUGGGGAUCUUACACUAAUGCUGCAGGGACAACAUAAGGCCCUGCUGUGAGUUUGUUCUCAGCCAUGAGGUCACAAGGCCCUACUAAGACUGUGCUGGGCUGUGGGUUCACAAGGCCCUACUAUGGACUCUGUGCUGGGCCAUGAGGUUACAGUGCUGCACUGUGACGUUACAUUGGGCUGUGAGGUCACAAGGCCCCACUGUGACACUGUGUCAGGCUGUGAGGUGACAAAGCCUGCUGUGACGCUGUUCUGGUCAAUGAGGUUACAAUACUGUGCUGUGACACUGUGUCAUGCAGUGAAACCACAAGUGAAACCCUGCUGUGAUGCUGUGCCAAGCUGGGACAUCACAAGGUCCUGCUGUGACCAUGUGUUGGGUCAUGAGGGUACAACUCCAUUCUGUGAAGCUGUGCUGGGAUGAUUUGGAUGGUUUAACCCCAGACAUGAACUCCCUGACAUCAGCUCAGUGUGAUGCUGAAUGUGAAGCCACAUCCCAUCAUGUGAGAAAUAAGGCCUGAAAAAGGAGUGGAAAGGGAUGGAGCAUCACAGCUUCUACAUGGAAUACAAUGUCUCAAGUCUCACUUAGAUACCUAGCUGCACUUUGCUCCCUAUUCUAGAAGCGUUUCUAAGAAAUAUAUUUACAAAAGCAGAAAAAAUAAAAGAAAAUGGCUCUGCGAGCUAAGGGAGAAU
rnacentral:lncRNA from 1 species